rnacentral:ncRNA from 1 species
UAACAUGAGAGUUUGAUCCUGGCUCAGGACGAACGCUGGCGGCGUGCCUAACACAUGCAAGUCGAGCGGAGAUGCAGCAAUGUAUCUUAGCGGCGGACGGGUGAGUAACACGUGGGUAACCUGCCUCAUAGAGGGGGAUAGCCACCCGAAAGGGUGAUUAAUACCGCAUGAUGCGGAGCUUGGGCAUCCAGGCACCGUUAAAGGAG